rnacentral:rRNA from 1 species
GACGAACGCUGGCGGCGUGCCUAAUACAUGCAAGUCGAGCGAAGUUUUUCUGGUGCUUGCACUAGAAAAACUUAGCGGCGAACGGGUGAGUAACACGUAAAGAACCUGCCUCAUAGACUGGGACAACUAUUGGAAACGAUAGCUAAUACCGGAUAACAGUAUUUCUCGCAUGAGAGAUAUUUAAAAGUUGGUUAUGCUAACACUAUGAGAUGGCUUUGCGGUGCAUUAGCUAGUUGGUGGGGUAAAGGCCCACCAAGGCGACGAUGCAUAGCCGACCUGAGAGGGUGAUCGGCCACACUGGAACUGAGACACGGCCCAGACUCCUACGGGAGGCAGCAGUAGGGAAUCUUCCGCAAUGGGCGAAAGCCUGACGGAGCAACGCCGCGUGAGUGAAGAAGGAUUUCGGUUCGUAAAGCUCUGUUGUUAGGGAAGAAUGGAUAUGUAGUAACUAUACAUGUAAGAGACGGUACCUAACCAGAAAGCCACGGCUAACUACGUG